CGGGACGGGUGAGUAAUGUCUAGGGAAACUGCCUGAUGGAGGGGGAUAACUACUGGAAACGGUAGCUAAUACCGCAUAACGUCGCAAGACCAAAGAGGGGGACCUUCGGGCCUCUUGCCAUCGGAUGUGCCCAGAUGGGAUUAGCUAGUAGGUGGGGUAACGGCUCACCUAGGCGACGAUCCCUAGCUGGUCUGAGAGGAUGGCCAGCCACACUGGAACUGAGACACGGUCCAG
rnacentral:rRNA from 1 species